ACCUACCAGAGGUUAUAAAGGAUACGCGGGUGAAACUGAUAUAAUAUUAACAUUUAGGUCGAAUUCGUAUCUGAUUCUUCGGAAGAUAAUAGUAAGGUAGUGCAACGUAGUAAUACGUUUGCGGGAG
rnacentral:ncRNA from 1 species